GAUACGUCUCCAACGUAUCUAUAAUUUUUUAUGGUUCCAUGCUAUUAUCUUGUCAACUUUGGAUGUUUUAUAUGCAUGAAUAUGAUAUUUUAUAUCUUUUUUGGGACUAACCUAUUAACUCAGUGCCAAGUGCCAGUUUCUGUUUUUUUCGUGUUUUUGGCCCAUUUUCAAACGGAGUCCAAAUGGAAUGAAACUUCACGAUGAUUUUUUGGACCAAAACAGACCCCCG
rnacentral:lncRNA from 1 species